AUUGAACGCUGGCGGCAGGCCUAACACAUGCAAGUCGAGCGAGCGGCGGACGGGUGAGUAAUGUCUGGGAAACUGCCUGAUGGAGGGGGAUAACUACUGGAAACGGUAGCUAAUACCGCAUACCAUCGGAUGUGCCAAGAUGGGAUUAGAUAGUAGGUGGGGUAACGGCUCACCUAGGCGACGAUCCCUAGCUGGUCUGAUAGGAUGACCAGCCACACUGGAACUGAGACACGGUGCAGGCUCCUACGGGAGGCAGCAGUGGGGAAUAUUGCACAAUGGGCGCAAGCCUGAUGCAGCCAUGCCGCGUGUAUGAAGAAGGCCUUCGGGUUGUAAAGUACUUUCAGCGGGGAGGCGUUACCCGCAGAAGAAGCACCGGCUAACUCCGUGCCAGCCGCCGCGGUAAAC
rnacentral:rRNA from 1 species